GAUGAACGCUGGCGGCGUGCCUAAUACAUGCAAGUCGAGCGAACAGACGAGGAGCUUGCUCCUCUGACGUUAGCGGCGGACGGGUGAGUAACACGUGGAUAACCUACCUAUAAGACUGGGAUAACUUCGGGAAACCGGAGCUAAUACCGGAUAAUAUAUUGAACCGCAUGGUUCAAUAGUGAAAGACGGUUUUGCUGUCACUUAUAGAUGGAUCCGCGCCGCAUUAGCUAGUUGGUAAGGUAACGGCUUACCAAGGCAACGAUGCGUAGCCGACCUGAGAGAGUGAUCGGCCACACUAGAACUGAGACACGGUCCAGACUCCUGCGAGAGGCAGCAGUAGGGAAUCUUCCGCAAUGGGCGAAAGCUUGACGGAGCAACGCCGCGUGAGUGAUGAAGGUCUUCGGAUCGUAAAACUCUGUUAUUAGGGAAGAACAAAUGUGUAAGUAACUAUGCACGUCUUGACGGUACCUAGUCAGAAAGCCACGGCUAACUACGUG
rnacentral:rRNA from 1 species